rnacentral:rRNA from 1 species
GACGAACGCUGGCGGCGUGCCUAAUACAUGCAAGUCGAGCGGACAGAAGGGAGCUUGCUCCCGGAAGUUAGCGGCGGACGGGUGAGUAACACGUGGGCAACCUACCCUGUAGAUCGGGAUAACAUCGAGAAAUCGGUGCUAAUACCGGAUAAUCAUUUGAAGUGCAUGCUUCGAAUGUAAAAGAUGGCUCCGGCUAUCACUACGGGAUGGGCCCGCGGCGCAUUAGCUAGUUGGUAAGGUAAUGGCUUACCAAGGCAACGAUGCGUAGCCGACCUGGGAGGGUGGUCGGCCACACUGGGAAUGAGACACGGCCCAGACUCCUACGGGAGGCAGCAGUAGGGAAUCUUCCGCAAUGGACGAAAGUCUGACGGAGCAACGCCGCGUGAGUGAUGAAGGUUUUCGGAUCGUAAAGCUCUGUUGUUAGGGAAGAACAAGUGCCGUUUGAAUAAGGCGGCACCUUGACGGUACCUAACCAGAAAGCCACGGCUAACUACGUGCCAGCCGCCGCCGUAACAC